rnacentral:misc_RNA from 1 species
GAUGAAGAACGCAGCGAAAUGCGAUACGUAAUGUGAAUUGCAGAAUUCAGUGAAUCAUCGAGUCUUUCAACGCACAUUGCGCCCCCUGGUAUUCCGGGGGGCAUGCCUGUCCGAGCGUCAUUGCUGCCCUCAAGCACGGCUUGUGUGUUGGGCCUCCGCCCCCCGGCUCCCGGGGGGCGGGCCCGAAAGGCAGCGGCGGCACCGCGUCCGGUCCUCGAGCGUAUGGGGCUUCGUCACCCGCUCCGUAGGCCCGGCCGGCGCCCGCCGGCGACCCCCCUCAAUCUUUCCAGGUUGACCUCGGAUCAGGUAGGGAUACCCGCUGAACUUAAGCAUAUCAAUAAGCGGAGGA